UACGUAGGGGGCAAGCGUUGUCCGGAUUUAUUGGGCGUAAAGAGCGUGUAGGCGGUUUGGUAGGUCCGCUGUGAAAACUCGAGCUCAACCUCGAGACGCCGGUGGAAACCAUCAGACUAGAGUCCGGAAGAGGAGAGUGGAAUUCCUGGUGUAGCGGUGGAAUGCGCAGAUAUCAGGAGGAACACCAAUGGCGAAGGCAGAUCUCUGGGCCGUAACUGACGCUGAGGAGCGAAAGCAUGGGGAGCAAACGGG
rnacentral:rRNA from 1 species